rnacentral:rRNA from 1 species
GAACGGUUCCGUUCUUCGUAGGGCACCUUGCACAGGUGCUGCAUGGCUGUCGUCAGCUCGUGUCGUGAGAUGUUGGGUUAAGUCCCGCAACGAGCGCAACCCUUAUCCCUAGUUGCCAUCAGGUAAAGCUGGGAACUCUGGGGAGACUGCCGGUGAUAAACCGGAGGAAGGCGGGGAUGACGUCAAGUCCUCAUGGCCCUUACAUCCCGGGCUACACACGUGCUACAAUGGCAGGUACAGAGGGCUGCGAAGCCGCGAGGUGGAGCGAAUCCCAGAAAACCUGUCUCAGUCCGGAUUGAAGUCUGCAACUCGACUUCAUGAAGGCGGAAUCGCUAGUAACCGCGAAUCAGCAGGUCGCGGUGAAUACGUUCCCGGGCCUU